UACGAGGGAUGCAAGCGUUAUCCGGAAUUAUUGGGCGUAAAGCGUUUGUAGGCGGGCGAGUGUGUUUAAUGUUAAAUCUUAAAGCUCAACUUUGAAAUUGCGUUAAAAACUGCUUGUCUUGAGUAUGGUAGGGGUAAAGGGAAUUCCCAGUGUAGCGGUGAAAUGCGUAGAUAUUGGGAAGAACACUAAACAGCGAAGGCACUUUACUAGGCUAAUACUGACGCUGAGAAACGAAAGGUAAGGUAGCGAAACGGACUAGAUACCCGUGUAGUCUUACCCGUAAACUAUGGACACUAAACGGUAAAUUUUUAAUUUACUGUUAAAGCUAACGCGUUAAGUGUCCCGCCUGGGGAGUAUGCUUGCAAAAGUGAAACUCAAAGGAAUUGACGGGGGCCCGCACAAGCGGUGGAGCAUGUGGUUUAAUUCGACGGUACACGAAGAACCUUACCAGGAUUUGACAUGCUAGAUAGUUGCUUGAAAGAGUAACGUGCCGUAAGGAAUCUAGACACAGGUGGUGCAUGGCUGUCGUCAGUUCGUGUUGUGAAAUGUUGGGUUAAGUCCCGCAACGAACGCAACCCUUGUCUUUAGUUAUUUUCUAAAGAGACUGCCUGUAAUAAACAGGAGGAAGGUAAGGAUGAGGUCAAGUCAUCAUGCCCCUUAUGUCCUGGGCUACACACGUGCUACAAUGGGAAAGACAAUGAGCUGCAAAUCUGUAAAUUUAAGCAAAUCUCUUAAACUUUCUCGUAGUUCGGAUUGUGGGCUGCAACUCGCCCACAUGAAGUUGGAAUCGCUAGUAAUCGCCAGUCAGCUAUAUGGCGGUGAAUCCGUUCCCGGGCCU
rnacentral:rRNA from 1 species